rnacentral:rRNA from 1 species
UACGUAGGGUGCGAGCGUUAAUCGGAAUUACUGGGCGUAAAGCGUGCGCAGGCGGCUUUGCAAGACAGAGGUGAAAUCCCCGGGCUCAACCUGGGAACUGCCUCUGUGACUGCAAGGCUAGAGUACGGCAGAGGGGGAUGGAAUUCCGCGUGUAGCAGUGAAAUGCGUAGAUAUGCGGAGGACACCGAUGGCGAAGGCAAUCCCCUGGGCCUGUACUGACGCUCAUGCACG